rnacentral:rRNA from 1 species
AGAAGGCACACCCGGAGAACUGAAACAUCUUAGUACCCGGAGGAAGAGAAAGAAAAUUCGAUUCCCUUAGUAGCGGCGAGCGAAACGGGAAGAGCCCAAACCAACAAGCUUGCUUGUUGGGGUUGUAGGACACUCUAUACGGAGUUACAAAGGACGACAUUAGACGAAUCAUCUGGAAAGAUGAAUCAAAGAAGGUAAUAAUCCUGUAGUCGAAAAUGUUGUCUCUCUUGAGUGGAUCCUGAGUACGACGGAGCACGUGAAAUUCCGUCGGAAUCUGGGAGGACCAUCUCCUAAGGCUAAAUACUCUCUAGUGACCGAUAGUGAACCAGUACCGUGAGGGAAAGGUGAAAAGCACCCCGGAAGGGGAGUGAAAUAGAACCUGAAACCGUGUGCUUACAAGUAGUCAGAGCCCGUUAAUGGGUGAUGGCGUGCCUUUUGUAGAAUGAACCGGCGAGUUACGAUUUGAUGCAAGGUUAAGCAGUAAAUGUGGAGCCGUAGCGAAAGCGAGUCUGAAUAGGGCGUUUAGUAUUUGGUCGUAGACCCGAAACCAGGUGAUCUACCCUUGGUCAGGUUGAAGUUCAGGUAACACUGAAUGGAGGACCGAACCGACUUACGUUGAAAAGUGAGCGGAUGAACUGAGGGUAGCGGAGAAAUUCCAAUCGAACCUGGAGAUAGCUGGUUCUCUCCGAAAUAGCUUUAGGGCUAGCCUCAAGUGAUGAUUAUUGGAGGUAGAGCACUGUUUGGACGAGGGGCCCCUCUCGGGUUACCGAAUUCAGACAAACUCCGAAUGCCAAUUAAUUUAACUUGGGAGUCAGAACAUGGGUGAUAAGGUCCGUGUUCGAAAGGGAAACAGCCCAGACCACCAGCUAAGGUCCCAAAAUAUAUGUUAAGUGGAAAAGGAUGUGGCGUUGCCCAGACAACUAGGAUGUUGGCUUAGAAGCAGCCAUCAUUUAAAGAGUGCGUAAUAGCUCACUAGUCGAGUGACACUGCGCCGAAAAUGUACCGGGGCUAAACAUAUUACCGAAGCUGUGGAUUGUCCUUUGGACAAUGGUAGGAGAGCGUUCUAAGGGCGUUGAAGCAUGAUCGUAAGGACAUGUGGAGCGCUUAGAAGUGAGAAUGCCGGUGUGAGUAGCGAAAGACGGGUGAGAAUCCCGUCCACCGAUUGACUAAGGUUUCCAGAGGAAGGCUCGUCCGCUCUGGGUUAGUCGGGUCCUAAGCUGAGGCCGACAGGCGUAGGCGAUGGAUAACAGGUUGAUAUUCCUGUACCACCUAUAAUCGUUUUAAUCGAUGGGGGGACGCAGUAGGAUAGGCGAAGCGUGCGAUUGGAUUGCACGUCUAAGCAGUAAGGCUGAGUAUUAGGCAAAUCCGGUACUCGUUAAGGCUGAGCUGUGAUGGGGAGAAGACAUUGUGUCUUCGAGUCGUUGAUUUCACACUGCCGAGAAAAGCCUCUAGAUAGAAAAUAGGUGCCCGUACCGCAAACCGACACAGGUAGUCAAGAUGAGAAUUCUAAGGUGAGCGAGCGAACUCUCGUUAAGGAACUCGGCAAAAUGACCCCGUAACUUCGGGAGAAGGGGUGCUCUUUAGGGUUAACGCCCAGAAGAGCCGCAGUGAAUAGGCCCAAGCGACUGUUUAUCAAAAACACAGGUCUCUGCUAAACCGUAAGGUGAUGUAUAGGGGCUGACGCCUGCCCGGUGCUGGAAGGUUAAGAGGAGUGGUUAGCUUCUGCGAAGCUACGAAUCGAAGCCCCAGUAAACGGCGGCCGUAACUAUAACGGUCCUAAGGUAGCGAAAUUCCUUGUCGGGUAAGUUCCGACCCGCACGAAAGGCGUAACGAUUUGGGCACUGUCUCAACGAGAGACUCGGUGAAAUCAUAGUACCUGUGAAGAUGCAGGUUACCCGCGACAGGACGGAAAGACCCCGUGGAGCUUUACUGUAGCCUGAUAUUGAAAUUCGGCACAGCUUGUACAGGAUAGGUAGGAGCCUUUGAAACGUGAGCGCUAGCUUACGUGGAGGCGCUGGUGGGAUACUACCCUAGCUGUGUUGGCUUUCUAACCCGCACCACUUAUCGUGGUGGGAGACAGUGUCAGGCGGGCAGUUUGACUGGGGCGGUCGCCUCCUAAAAGGUAACGGAGGCGCUCAAAGGUUCCCUCAGAAUGGUUGGAAAUCAUUCAUAGAGUGUAAAGGCAUAAGGGAGCUUGACUGCGAGACCUACAAGUCGAGCAGGGUCGAAAGACGGACUUAGUGAUCCGGUGGUUCCGCAUGGAAGGGCCAUCGCUCAACGGAUAAAAGCUACCCCGGGGAUAACAGGCUUAUCUCCCCCAAGAGUUCACAUCGACGGGGAGGUUUGGCACCUCGAUGUCGGCUCAUCGCAUCCUGGGGCUGUAGUCGGUCCCAAGGGUUGGGCUGUUCGCCCAUUAAAGCGGUACGCGAGCUGGGUUCAGAACGUCGUGAGACAGUUCGGUCCCUAUCCGUCGUGGGCGUAGGAAAUUUGAGAGGAGCUGUCCUUAGUACGAGAGGACCGGGAUGGACAUACCUCUGGUGUACCAGUUGUCGUGCCAACGGCAUAGCUGGGUAGCUAUGUGUGGACGGGAUAAGUGCUGAAAGCAUCUAAGCAUGAAGCCCCCCUCAAGAUGAGAUUUCCCAACUUCGGUUAUAAGAUCCCUCAAAGAUGAUGAGGUUAAUAGGUUCGAGGUGGAAGCAUGGUGACAUGUGGAGCUGACGAAUACUAAUCGAUCGAAGACUUAAUCAA